CUGGAACUGCCAUCAAAACUUUUCAGCUAGAGUAUGAUAGAGGAAAGCAGAAUUUCUAGUGUAGAGGUGAAAUUCGUAGAUAUUAGAAAGAAUACCAAUUGCGAAGGCAGCUUUCUGGAUCAUUACUGACACUGAGGAACGAAAGCAUGGGUAGCGAAGAGGAUUAGAUACCCUCGUAGUCCAUGCCGUAAACGAUGUGUGUUAGACGUUGGAAAUUUAUUUUCAGUGUCGCAGCGAAAGCGAUAAACACACCGCCUGGGGAGUACGACCGCAAGGUUAAAACUCAAAUGAAUUGACGGGGACCCGCACAAGUAGUGGAGCAUGUGGUUUAAUUCGAAGAUACGCGCAGAACCUUACCAACACUUGACAUGUUCGUCGCGACUUUAAGAGAUUAAAGUUUUCGGUUCGGCCGGACGAAACACAGGUGCUGCAUGGCUGUCGUCAGCUCGUGUCGUGAGAUGUUGGGUUAAGUCCCGCAACGAGCGCAACCCUCACUUUUAGUUGCCAUCAUUAAGUUGGGCACUCUGAAAGAACUGCCAGUGAUAAGCUGGAGGAAGGUGGGGAUGACGUCAAGUCCUCAUGGCCCUUACGUGUUGGGCUACACACGUGCUACAAUGGUAUCUACAACAGGAAGCAAGACGGCGACGUUAAGCAAAUCCUUAAAAGAUACCUCAGUUCGGAUUGCACUCUGCAACUCGAGUGCAUGAAGCUGGAAUUACUAGUAAUCGUGGAUCAGCGUGCCACGGUGAAUGCGUUCCCGGGUCUUGUACACACCGCCCGUCACACCAUGGGAGUUGGUUCUACCUUAAGGCAAGGUUUAAAACCCUUGACCACGGUAUAGUCAGCGACUGGGGGUGAAGUCGUAACAAGGUAGCCGUAGGGAACCUGCGGCUG
rnacentral:rRNA from 1 species